GAUUGAUGAUGGGGGCAUUGGCUCAUGAGGAGAUUAAAGAGUUCCCAUAUUUCAUGGAAGGAUUCACCAUUCUGUUGUGUGAAAAAGUAAAUCUUACCCCUUAACUC